rnacentral:rRNA from 1 species
AUACAUGCAAGUCGAACGAGUUCUCGUUGAUGAUCGGUGCUUGCACCGAGAUUCAACAUGGAACGAGUGGCGGACGGGUGAGUAACACGUGGGUAACCUGCCCUUAAGUGGGGGAUAACAUUUGGAAACAGAUGCUAAUACCGCAUAGAUCCAAGAACCGCAUGGUUCUUGGCUGAAAGAUGGCGUAAGCUAUCGCUUUUGGAUGGACCCGCGGCGUAUUAGCUAGUUGGUGAGGUAAUGGCUCACCAAGGCGAUGAUACGUAGCCGAACUGAGAGGUUGAUCGGCCACAUUGGGACUGAGACACGGCCCAAACUCCUACGGGAGGCAGCAGUAGGGAAUCUUCCACAAUGGACGCAAGUCUGAUGGAGCAACGCCGCGUGAGUGAAGAAGGCUUUCGGGUCGUAAAACUCUGUUGUUGGAGAAGAAUGGUCGGCAGAGUAACUGUUGCCGGCGUGACGGUAUCCAACCAGAAAGCCACGGCUAACUACGUGCCAGCAGCCGCGGUAAUACGUAGGUGGCAAGCGUUAUCCGGAUUUAUUGGGCGUAAAGCGAGCGCAGGCGGUUUUUUAAGUCUGAUGUGAAAGCCCUCGGCUUAACCGAGGAAGCGCAUCGGAAACUGGGAAACUUGAGUGCAGAAGAGGACAGUGGAACUCCAUGUGUAGCGGUGAAAUGCGUAGAUAUAUGGAAGAACACCAGUGGCGAAGGCGGCUGUCUGGUCUGUAACUGACGCUGAGGCUCGAAAG